UUUCCCCACAAGGUAGUCAUAGAUAUUUGAUGCAAUUAGAAUGACCUCUAUAUUUUUGGCACAGCGAGCAGGAUGUGAUCGGGAAUCCUCGGAGAGUUUCUCACAACCAGGGAUAGAGGUGAGUAUCCUUUUACUUACCACCUCUACUGUACACCUUGAUUUGGGACUCCCCGAGACAUCCCUUCGCACUCCCUUUUUAAUAUGAACCACAUAUAGAAUGCACAGACCAGAGGACUGAAUGGAACCGUGUUUGUGGCCAAGUUUUUGGAGUGCAGAGAUCGCUGGAGGCGAAGGCUGCAUCACCAGUUACUGAGCACCAAGUGGGCGCUGCAGUAAACUGAGUACAAAGGUGUGUUCAGUCGGUCUCCCCUGAAGCACUGCUUAAGUGGGUUUCAGGAAGCUGGGAUACAAUGUCCUAUGAGUUGCCCCAGAAUGUGUCAAUGAUUCCCUCUAUGGGAGGGGGAUUCAUUGGCAUGCCCCAGGUGCACCAAAGAUACUUACUCUCUACAGGAGGGAGACUCAUUGACUGGCCCCGGGGAACAUCAAUGAUGCCCUCUACGGAAGGGAGGCUCAUUGAUUUUAUAAAAGGGAAACAUGAGAAGGUUCAAAAGAUGAUCGCAAAAAUGGAUGGAAUGAGGGUAUGAGUAUGAUGGACAGUGUGUUGUGAUGGUCUGGUCAGACGAAAGGAAGAUUAGAGAAGGGGACUGUAAAAAUGUAUUGAGAAUAUGAAAGGAAACUACAAGAGUUGGAAAUACUCCAAAAGGCUCUUACAUCAGAGCUAAAUCAAAAGGUAGAUUGCAACUGCAAGCUGAGUAAACUUGAAGCAGAAAACAAAGCUCUAAAAGCAAAACUAAAAAAAAAAGCCCAACUCCUAUGCGCAUCGUAUUGUUGCUACCAUACAACAGAAGGGUAAAUUUUACUGACCCUGACUCAAGCAGCAAUACUGAUAAAGACCAAAAUGAAAUUAAUUGGAAACACCUUAAGAAACAAAUUCAAAGUUGGAACCUGGCACACACGGGGGAAGAUCAAGAUAAUUUACCCCCUCCUUCUCCCCCCUUUUAACUCAGAAUUAAGUGCCAGUGCUCCCUUGGCCCCUCUCCAAGUGACCACUUGGUGGUCAGGAACAGGUGAAAACAGAGUGGCUCAUAAUACUUACAAGUACAUUCCUCUCAGCACAGAGGAAAUGAAGGGCUUACUGAAAGAUCUUCCUGAUCUAAAGCCCAAAACCCCAAAUUUGAUAUUCUGGAAAAGAAUAAGCCAGAUGGUUACCAUCUAUACGUUACAUCCCAAAAGGGAUCUUUAUAUCUUAACAAAAGCUAAAUGCCCCGAUCUAUCAUGGGCCAAGAUCCCUACAGAAGAUCCGAAACAGCAUUUGGGCCUCUGUUAAAUCUGAAAAUGAUAUGACCUGGGCCUGCAAUGAGUUUAAGGAAGCUGUCCAAGAAGCCUUGGGGAAUGGAGCCGGUAACUGGGGACUGAUCGUGGGCUGUGUACAAUGCAAGGCCGAGCCUGCGGCUCAAUAUUGAGAAAGAAAAUGAGAGAUAUAUUCCAGCAAUGCAGGCCUUGCAGACCCAAAGAAAACAGGUCAGGGCUUCUAAAAAUGUUAAAGGAAAGUUUUAACUCCCACCUGCAAACAGCCCUUAAUUUGGGAGUGAACCCAAGCUCUUAUUAUGAAUCCAUCUGUAUGUGGGCCUCUGAAUGUGCAGCCAGACAAGCUAAAAAAAAUAAGGAGCAAGGCUACUUGCGUUGCCAUGGUAACAGCAGAAGAUCAUGUAGCCUGUUAUAAUUGUGGCUGUCUCGGAUAUACCCAAAAGCACUGCAGGCACAAGGCCCAAAAGCCUAGUCAGGGACACAAUUAUGGCCAGUUGAAUCCCUGCAGCACCUCACUGCCCUUUCAGUAUCGUCCCCGCCCCUCCUCCCCCACACACAGUGUUUUGUACGUGCGGAAACUGGACAUUGGGCAGCUGGAUGCCCAAGCCGAGUAGCCCUGGGCAACUGGCCCCAACUGGUAUCUCAACCAGCUGCCAACCCUUGCUCACACCUAAGCAAAGAGCAAAUGGCCAGGCUUUUAAAUUCCAUGACCCGCUAGGAUCCAGCUGCCCCCCCCUUGCUCAUCAGUACUGCUAAUGCAGAUAUAAAUCCUUUGAGACUACACUUACAAGCAUGAAUUAGGGGCUGGCCAUGCACAAUUCUUGUGGACAUGGAAGCAUCUGUUUCCAUUACUGACCUCCCCUUCCCCACUACUAAACAGUAUGCUACUACAGUAUUUCAGGGGUAGGAGGUGCACAACUCCUGAGUUAUAAAAGCUAUCCUGUUCUUGUAAAAUCUCAUCUAUUCUUCUGGACUCAGCCUUUUUUUUAAAAUGUAGUUCCAAAUGCAGAGGGGACUAUUUUGGGCAUGGAUGUCCUCUGCGACCUGGCAGCAAUUCUUAAUCUCGCGCAGAGUACAGUUACUGAUAAACUUAUGCGUACUCAUACCAUUCCUCUCCGUAAUGAUAAACUUUUCUCUUCUGUUGCAACUGCCAAAUCCAUGGCUCUCACUUGGGACACCUCUAACCCUUUUUCAAGAAUUAUGUUCCAGGUUCCCCUCUGUUUGGGCAGAAAAUAAAUGGUCUUGCAGUUUGAUGCCUGCUCAUCUUUGCCCACCCAUCCAGAUUACCAGUCAACUCCCUCCACCUCUCAAACCUGAGGCCGUAGAUGUGGUAACGAACAACUCCCCACAUUAAUCCUCCUGGCAAACGUACCUGAUGCAGCCUCCUGGGACCUGCCCUUAAUGCAUGUUACACAAGAUGCCUGUUUCAAAGCUGGCCAGUAUGUGCAACUCCCUACAGGAGACAGCAGUGAAUAGGUAAAAAAACAAAACAAAAAACGGACACUUGGCUUGCCCCCAGAACGACCACCUGGGACCUAUCAUGGUUACAGCUCGCCUCCAAAAACAUCCAGGUUCCAAGAUCUCAAUCUAUCACAGCCUAGGAGCAGUCUUCGGCUCCCUCCCUGCAUUUCACCGGAUCUGGACUGUAACUGAGUAUUUAGCUCCAUGGGAUGUGGGCACACACAUAUAGGGCCCCCAUUUUGGGAUGCAAGGUCAUACAAUUCUUGGGUCAAAGGCCAAACCACCCAAACCCUUAAGCAUACUAACACCAGGUUAUCUUAUGCUCUAACUGCAACUGCUGUAGGCAUAGAGGAUUUUUCCAAAAUCCUUGAGAAAACCUCAGAUGCUAUAGUCAACCUGGCCAAGUCACAAGCUAAAGAUUGUGCUUGUGAUAUGCUGCCUCAUGAUCUGUUUAACAUUGCAAAAGAAAACAUGUUAGAUGUAUGCCUGGGUUUUCCUCCAUCCCAUACCCUUUCCUCCCCCACCCUUGCCCACAUUGCAGGCAUUUCUACUCAACUGAUAGUAGCCUCUUUACUUCCUCCAGACUCAUCCUUCUCCUUUAAUUUCCCUCUUGUGUAUGCUUCUGUUAUCCCUACCCAUGUGUUUCCUCCUCCUUUCUGUUUUAAGUCUAUUGGAUAUGUAACUAACGAUAUGGUGUACAAAGUAGGGCUGUCCAGAUACCUGGCACCAUCUCCUGCUAAUGCUACACUGAUGACAACCUCAGACUGUUGUACAGAAACAAAACAGUUACAUUGUGGUGUUACUGUUCCACCCUUCGUCCUUUAAUCUUGCCCUCUUCUGUUGUUGUGGAUGUCCUUCCUCUUGCAGACGGUGAAGUUGCUGUAUAAGUAUCCGCUACUCAGUGGUGUUUCAUCAUCACAGCAUCUUAUUACAUACGGAUGAUUACAGUGCCAGGCAAACGCUUCCAUGUGCCUGCAGAUUACUGACUCAUUUACCCCAGGUGAUGUGCACCUCCCCCGCCGUGUGUUCACUAAAAUGACAGCGGGUCCUCCGUGGCAUAACAACUUAUACCUGGACAAUACACUGGUUCAACUAGCCAAGGAGGUACUACUCAAAGUCAUCCUGGCUGCUGCAUCUGUGUUUACCACUGUUCAUAACCACGUCACCAAAUGUCACAUUCCAACCAAACCAAUCACUCAACUGGAAGAUCCUCUUCAUAAUGCAUCCUACAGCCCCAUCUCCUGAUGCUGCUGUUGCUUCUAUAUUUGUGUUGCUAACCUCUCUGGUCAUGUGUGGGUACUUUAGAUACAUGCUUAAAAAUCUUACUAUGGUUCCUACCUUUACCCUCUUUCCCCAUUUCCCUCUCUCCCCUCCCCCUCCUACCUCCCUUGGGCAACCCUAAAACAGAUCAUGUAUAUCAAAGCAUUUGGAGUAUUGACUUUAUCUCAUCUAAAAGUUCUAUAUGUCAACAGGAGGGCACUGUCAGGCAAGAGUUAAAAUUUAGCUAACAACUAAGACAAAAACCGCAGAACAAGCAGGAAUGCUUCAGCAGCAAGGACACUGACAACUGUAAACAACUGAUAAGCUUAUAUGGGCAAUGCCCGCCCAGUAACUCAGCUCUUACAACAGAACAAACCCUCCUUUCACAGCCCACCGAUAUCUGUAAACACUCCUCCCUACCCCCCCACCCACCUCUUCCCCCAUAC